rnacentral:antisense_RNA from 1 species
CACUGACAUUAAUGAUUCAUUCUGCGAACCAUGGCCAACAGCCAGAUAAGAGUGCAUGCCCAACUCUUUCAUUUGCUGUUCACCAAUCACGCGAGUGAUGAUGUUGGUGCUAAAUGCAUCGGCCAACUGGCGCGCUUGAGACGCCAGAUAGGCGGCAUUACAAAUAUUCGGCGGCAUGUUACCCAAAUCUUUCGC